UCGUUGGAUCUAUGAUAUAUAUAGCAUCGAGCGAAUACUUAAUCUAAUACGUCGGCGUAAAACGCUCGACGAGCGGCGGAGACUCGGCCAGUCGUUCGAUACCUGCUCGCAGGUGCUCGUUCGGCGCGAGGUCGUUUCCCGAUGUCGCCGUCGACGCUACCGACGUCUAGGCGUCCGCGGCGUCCGAGUCGGCCACCCGUCCGACCCGUCUUGAAACACGGACCAAGGAGUCUAACGUACGCGCGAGUUAAUGGGCGGAAAACCCAUAAGCGCAAUAAAAGUAAAAGUCGUCCCUAGACGGCCGAGGUACGAUCCUAGACUACGCGUCUAGGCGCAGUACCGUCCCGUCCCGACCGCACGUCGGUAGGGCGGAGAUUGAGCGCAUACGUUGGGACCCGAAAGAUGGUGAACUAUGCCUGAGCAGAGCGAAGCCAGAGGAAACUCUGGUGGAGGUUCGUAGCGGUUCUGACGUGCAAAUCGAUCGUCAGA
rnacentral:rRNA from 1 species